GACGAACGCUGGCGGCGUGCCUAAUACAUGCAAGUCGAACGAACUCUGGUAUUGAUUGGUGCUUGCAUCAUGAUUUACAUUUGAGUGAGUGGCGAACUGGUGAGUAACACGUGGGAAACCUGCCCAGAAGCGGGGGAUAACACCUGGAAACAGAUGCUAAUACCGCAUAACAACUUGGACCGCAUGGUCCGAGCUUGAAAGAUGGCUUCGGCUAUCACUUUUGGAUGGUCCCGCGGCGUAUUAGCUAGAUGGUGGGGUAAUGGCUCACCAUGGCAAUGAUACGUAGCCGACCUGAGAGGGUAAUCGGCCACAUUGGGACUGAGACACGGCCCAAACUCCUACGGGAGGCAGCAGUAGGGAAUCUUCCACAAUGGACGAAAGUCUGAUGGAGCAACGCCGCGUGAGUGAAGAAGGGUUUCGGCUCGUAAAACUCUGUUGUUAAAGAAGAACAUAUCUGAGAGUAACUGUUCAGGUAUUGACGGUAUUUAACCAGAAAGCCACGGUUAACUACGUGCCAGCAGCCGCGGUAAUACGUAGGUGGCAAGCGUUGUCCGGAUUUAUUGGGCGUAAAGCGAGCGCAGGCGGUUUUUUAAGUCUGAUGUGAAAGCCUUCGGCUCAACCGAAGAAGUGCAUCGGAAACUGGGAAACUUGAGUGCAGAAGAGGACAGUGGAACUCCAUGUGUAGCGGUGAAAUGCGUAGAUAUAUGGAAGAACACCAGUGGCGAAGGCGGCUGUCUGGUCUGUAACUGACGCUGAGGCUCGAAAGUAUGGGUAGCAAACAGGAUUAGAUACCCUGGUAGUCCAUACCGUAAACGAUGAAUGCUAAGUGUUGGAGGGUUUCCGCCCUUCAGUGCUGCAGCUAACGCAUUAAGCAUUCCGCCUGGGGAGUACGGCCGCAAGGCUGAAACUCAAAGGAAUUGACGGGGGCCCGCACAAGCGGUGGAGCAUGUGGUUUAAUUCGAAGCUACGCGAAGAACCUUACCAGGUCUUGACAUACUAUGCAAAUCUAAGAGAUUAGACGUUCCCUUCGGGGACAUGGAUACAGGUGGUGCAUGGUUGUCGUCAGCUCGUGUCGUGAGAUGUUGGGUUAAGUCCCGCAACGAGCGCAACCCUUAUUAUCAGUUGCCAGCAUUAAGUUGGGCACUCUGGUGAGACUGCCGGUGACAAACCGGAGGAAGGUGGGGAUGACGUCAAAUCAUCAUGCCCCUUAUGACCUGGGCUACACACGUGCUACAAUGGAUGGUACAACGAGUUGCGAACUCGCGAGAGUAAGCUAAUCUCUUAAAGCCAUUCUCAGUUCGGAUUGUAGGCUGCAACUCGCCUACAUGAAGUCGGAAUCGCUAGUAAUCGCGGAUCAGCAUGCCGCGGUGAAUACGUUCCCGGGCCUUGUACACACCGCCCGUCACACCAUGAGAGUUUGUAACACCCAAAGUCGGUGGGGUAACCUUUUAGGAACCAGCCGCCUAAGGUGGGACAGAUGAUUAGGGUG
rnacentral:rRNA from 1 species